rnacentral:tRNA from 1 species
UUUGGCCUGGUUCAUGGAGAACGCCGGGGCUCGGAACUGCGGGGCCGCUCUGGCCGCUCUGGCCGACCGGCCCGUG